rnacentral:rRNA from 1 species
UUGCCCUAGUAACGGCGAGUGAAGCGGCAACAGCUCAAAUUUGAAAUCUGGCUUCGGCCCGAGUUGUAAUUUGCAGAGGAAGCUUUAGGCGCGGCACCUUCUGAGUCCCCUGGAACGGGGCGCCAUAGAGGGUGAGAGCCCCGUAUAGUUGGAUGCCUAGCCUGUGUAAAGCUCCUUCGACGAGUCGAGUAGUUUGGGAAUGCUGCUCAAAAUGGGAGGUAAAUUUCUUCUAAAGCUAAAUACCGGCCAGAGACCGAUAGCGCACAAGUAGAGUGAUCGAAAGAUGAAAAGCACUUUGAAAAGAGGGUUAAAUAGCACGUGAAAUUGUUGAAAGGGAAGCGCUUGUGACCAGACUUGCGCCGGACGGAUCAUCCGGUGUUCUCACCGGUGCACUCCGCCCGGCUCAGGCCAGCAUCGGUUCUCGCGGGGGGAUAAAGGUCCUGGGAACGUAGCUCCUCCGGGAGUGUUAUAGCCCGGGGCGUAAUGCCCUCGCGGGGACCGAGGUUCGCGCAUCUGCAAGGAUGCUGGCGUAAUGGUCAUCAGCGACCCGUCUUGAAACACGGACCAAGGAGUCAAGGUUUUGCGCGAGUGUUUGGGUGUAAAACCCGCACGCGUAAUGAAAGUGAACGUAGGUGAGAGCUUCGGCGCAUCAUCGACCGAUCCUGAUGUUUUCGGAUGGAUUUGAGUAGGAGCGUUAAGCCUUGGACCCGAAAGAUGGUGAACUAUGCUUGGAUAGGGUGAAGCCAGAGGAAACUCUGGUGGAGGCUCGCAGCGGUUCUGACGUGCAAAUCGAUCGUCAAAUCUGAGCAU